GACGAACGCUGGCGGCGUGCUUAACACAUGCAAGUCGAACGAUGAUCCGGAGCUUGCUCCGGGGAUUAGUGGCGAACGGGUGAGUAACACGUGAGUAACCUGCCCUUGACUCUGGGAUAAGCGUUGGAAACGACGUCUAAUACCGGAUAUGAGCUGUGGCCGCAUGGUCUGCAGUUGGAAAGAUUUUUUGGUCAAGGAUGGACUCGCGGCCUAUCAGGUAGUUGGUGAGGUAAUGGCUCACCAAGCCGACGACGGGUAGCCGGCCUGAGAGGGUGACCGGCCACACUGGGACUGAGACACGGCCCAGACUCCUACGGGAGGCAGCAGUGGGGAAUAUUGCACAAUGGGCGAAAGCCUGAUGCAGCAACGCCGCGUGAGGGAUGACGGCCUUCGGGUUGUAAACCUCUUUCAGUAGGGAAGAAGCGAGAGUGACGGUACCUGCAGAAGAAGCGCCGGCUAACUACGUGCCAGCAGCCGCAGUAAAAC
rnacentral:rRNA from 1 species